rnacentral:rRNA from 1 species
AACGAACGCUGGUGGCAGGCUUAACACAUGCAAGUCGAGCGCCCCGCAAGGGGAGCGGCAGACGGGUGAGUAACGCGUGGGAACGUACCUUUUGGUUCGGAACAACUCCGGGAAACUGGAGCUAAUACCGGAUAAGCCCUAACGGGGAAAGAUUUAUCGCCGAAAGAUCGGCCCGCGUCUGAUUAGCUAGUUGGUGAGGUAACGGCUCACCAAGGCGACGAUCAGUAGCUGGUCUGAGAGGAUGAUCAGCCACACUGGGACUGAGACACGGCCCAGACUCCUACGGGAGGCAGCAGUGGGGAAUAUUGGACAAUGGGCGCAAGCCUGAUCCAGCCAUGCCGCGUGAGUGAUGAAGGCCUUAGGGUUGUAAAGCUCUUUUGUCCGGGAAGAUAAUGACUGUACCGGAAGAAUAAGCCCCGGCUAACUUCGUG